UUUAGCAGCCACCGGGAAGUAGGUUGUAGAGUAGAUACUUUGCAGAUACAUGAGGAAAGGCAAUUUUGUUUAGAUGAAGUGUCACAGAGAUUUAAUGUAUUCCAAGGGAACGGGAAAUGACAUUGAUUAUUUUUAGUUCUUGUGCAUAAUGCUAGUGGACUUUGUCAAAGGACAAUUUUGUUUAGAUGAAGUGUCACAGAGAAUUAAUGUAUUCCAAGGAAACGGGAAAUGACAUUUAUUAUUUUUUAGUUCUUGUGCAUAAUGCCAGUGGACUUUGUCGAAGGGAAAAUGAAAGAACUACUAUGAGGGUAAAGAAUAAUUCAAGACCGAUGAACAAAACUGGACGAGAAUAAGCAGAAAUAGCCCCCAAAAA
rnacentral:lncRNA from 1 species